AGGGUAGCUUGCUACCUGACCUAGCGGCGGACGGGUGAGUAAUGCUUAGGAAUCUGCCUAUUAGUGGGGGACAACAUUCCGAAAGGAAUGCUAAUACCGCAUACGCCCUACGGGGGAAAGCAGGGGAUCUUCGGACCUUGCGCUAAUAGAUGAGCCUAAGUCAGAUUAGCUAGUUGGUGGGGUAAAGGCCUACCAAGGCGACGAUCUGUAGCGGGUCUGAGAGGAUGAUCCGCCACACUGGGACUGAGACACGGCCCAGACUCCUACGGGAGGCAGCAGUGGGGAAUAUUGGACAAUGGGCGAAAGCCUGAUCCAGCCAUGCCGCGUGUGUGAAGAAGGCCUUUUGGUUGUAAAGCACUUUAAGCGAGGAGGAGGCUACUUGGAUUAAUACUCUAGGAUAGUGGACGUUACUCGCAGAAUAAGCACCGGCUAACUCUGUGCCAGCAGCCGCGGUAAUACAGAGGGUGCGAGCGUUAAUCGGAUUUACUGGGCGUAAAGCGUGCGUAGGCGGCUUCUUAAGUCGGAUGUGAAAUCCCUGAGCUUAACUUAGGAAUUGCAUUCGAUACUGGGAAGCUAGAGUAUGGGAGAGGAUGGUAGAAUUCCAGGUGUAGCGGUGAAAUGCGUAGAGAUCUGGAGGAAUACCGAUGGCGAAGGCAGCCAUCUGGCCUAAUACUGACGCUGAGGUACGAAAGCAUGGGGAGCAAACAGGAUUAGAUACCC
rnacentral:rRNA from 1 species